UACGUCUUGGGAGGGGCAGAUGCUCUGUGUUCCUAGGAGGGCUGCAGUUAGAUUUUCCCAAUGUUUGCUGGCACACACCCCCCCCUUUCCUACUUAUCCCAAUGGUGGCCCAGUGCCCUGUGCCACCGUGGAGGGAGGGGCAAGGAGGAACCAGACACUGACCCUUCCUGGUGGUGGCUAAAGAAUUCAGUAUGAACAGUGACCUGGAAGGAGACUGGGUAACCUAAAGGGCUGCUGGGAGGAACAGGCUGCCGCCUAAAGAACUAAAGACAGAGACAGUUACCAGAGGUCACACGGCUCAAAGCCUUAGGAAGAACUGGUUGAAAGCGGGUGUCAGAGGGGAGCAAUGCUGAUGAGCAGUAUAAAGAGGUCAGACGGACAGACAGACGAUGUUGGCAGGGAGCCCAGACCACAGGUUCCAGUGACUGAACGAAGCUGACCCACUGAUACCGAGGAGGCUCGAGGCACAUCCCAGCAGGCACUACUGCCAGAGAGUCUCCAACUAUACCCCGAGCCCAGGCAAAGACCAGGUAAGGGGCUAAGGGUGCGCCGGCCGGGCCUGGCUGGGCAAGACCUCCGGGCAUUCCAGCGGCCUCCGCAGGAAGCAGAGCGGGGACGGAAACCGGCUCUCGCUGCCUCCCCCAGAAUCCUGUGGGCAGCCCAGUCAGGCUGCACAGAGGCCUUCUUUGUGCCGGGCCCCAACCCGCCACCCGGCUGGCCCAGGGUUUUGAGUUUCCUGGGGGGGCGGG